UGGCAACCAGUUCGGGGUGUACCUGCCUACUGCUCAAAGUCAGCUGGGAUAGCCUCCAACACGCUGGCACCCUCGUGAGUAAAAGCGGAUUAGAGAGGAUUAUUUAUUUAUAUUCCCUGGAACAGAUUAUUACACUUUCAUUCCUAUCAUUGGGAAAGAGUAUUUGAGAUACAAUCAUCACUGGGAAAGACUAUUUGAGAUUGAGUAUUUGAGUUAUAAGCAUGGUUGUAGAAUAAAUGAAACUCAACACAAGGCACUACCACUGUAUGUUGUUGAUAUAUGUGGACAAAAAUAAAGUGUGCAUUCCCACUCUAAAAUGUAUGCUUAUCUGCGAUCAAUAACCUUAAAAUAAAACAUAGUUGGACUCAAGGAAUGUGAACUCAAAGUUCAUUCGGCUAGUUCUGAUACAUAUUGUCUCAAGAGACAUAGUGCCUACAGCGCCCUCUUCACAAGAAAUUAAAACGGACAACGGUACAUUAUUUUCAUUGCCGUCAAACUCUCGGAGAGAAAGGAGAAGAGCGGUGCACAUAAAAAGCAGAGUUCGAAAUGGGCCUCGGGGCUGAGUGAGCAAAGCUGGCCAGAGGAGGAGAUUACAUCUUUGAGGCCACUGCUGAUGUUUCAUUACCAGAAAUAGGUCAGAUUUGAUGAAGGGGAGAAUCCCAAGGGUAGGGAGAGAUUCGGUCAUUCCUCAAGGUGAAUCUAUACAUCUAUCUAUACCGACAUUAGACAUAAAUAUAGUGAAACCGCAGACAUACUGGAAUGAGAAACGAUAUACUUAUACUGGAGCAAAUUAGGAUAUCAUUGGAAACCUAAAUUUCAGUUGUGCAAUUCGAAAAGUGACACUCAUAUAGCUUCUCUACACAUAAGGACAAUAUUUAAAUGAUUAUAUUUUUAUGAAUUUUGAUGAAUAAAUCUCAAAGCUAGCUUGAUGAGGACUUACUUUUGAUUUUUAAUUUGGACUCAGCUCGCUAUCAUGAUUUAGACAAGCUCACAAAGUGCUAUCUGCAUUUUCUCAUACAGUAUAUGUAUAUCUAAGAUGUAUGUGCAUGCCUUGAGAUAUGAGUUACAUUUGGUCCACAAUCAAGCCUGCAACUAAAAACACUCAAGACGAUGGCUAAAAACAACUUCUAAAUUGUGUCACUCGUAAUGUAAUUUAUUGAGAUAGUCCUGAUAUUUUUGGACACAGUUUCUCUCUUUGGUAUUCCAGGAAAGCUCAUCAGACACUGAAUCCCGGGAUUGCUGCGGCCCAUCAUCACCACACCCAGGGAGACAGAGGGACAUGUCUUUGCCAGCAAAGCGAGCCAACAUUCUGACGCUUUACGACAGCAGACAUCAGAUCAACCUCGUAGUGACCUUCAGGAAAGAGCACAUGAGCAAGCCAGCAGAAAGCUCCCCUUGAAGGACAGAUCACAAAUUCUCAACUCAACAAAUGAUCAUCUAUUCAUCAGUGUGGGGACACAAAGCUCUUCAAGUCCCUGUCAGGGCAAGAAUCUCCAUGUGGAGCCCGUGGAGCAAAGUGAGGUGCUCCUGCCUGAGGAACAUCAUGCUCCUCUCCACGCUCUCCA